rnacentral:rRNA from 1 species
UACGAAGGGGGCUAGCGUUGCUCGGAAUCACUGGGCGUAAAGCGCACGUAGGCGGAUCUUUAAGUCAGGGGUGAAAUCCCAAGGCUCAACCUUGGAACUGCCUUUGAUACUGGGGAUCUCGAGUCCGGAAGAGGUGAGUGGAACUGCGAGUGUAGAGGUGAAAUUCGUAGAUAUUCGCAAGAACACCAGUGGCGAAGGCGGCUCACUGGUCCGGUACUGACGCUGAGGUGCGAAAGCGUGGGGAGCAACAGG